CAGGGAUUUCUUCUUCCAUUUCCUCAGGGCUCUCCAAAUCAACUGGUAAGAAUAACAAUAAAAAGAGUAACAACCACCACCAUAUGUGUUAUUACACACAAUUUAUAUCGUUCUGCUACAACUAGCACUUUAUCGAAGUCCCUUAAAGAGUGGGGUAGAGAGUAGUGUUCACAGAAUAACAUAAUUUUAGGGCUAAGAGGGACCUCAAGAGGUAUCUAGUCUUCCUGCCUGCAAUGCAAGAAUGUUAGCUAAAGAAUCCCUGACAAUGUUGCUGAAAGUCAGUUCUAUCUGAGUAUCUACGUUUGUGGAAUUCACUGCCCUUAUAUAUUAGGCAGGCGUCUUCUGUGUUUAGUUUAAGAUGCCGCUUUAAAAUAUUUUUAUUUACACAAGGUUACCUUGCCACAUGACCCUGCUUUCUGUUGUUCUGUUCUUUGCUUCUUUAUGCUUUUACCUUUAAUUUCAUAUUGAUUUUAUGCACACCACUUUGAGAAUAUAUUUUUUAUUGAUUUAGUGGUAUAGAAUGUAUGUAUGCAUAAAUAGAUCAACAAACAAACAAACAAACAACAAAAAAUAGAUAAGGCAGCCUAAAUGAAAUUGGCAUUGGCAUGUUUUUCUCCUAAUGUGCCACUUGGGUUUGUUACAUUUCAUAUACCUGAUGUUCCUGGCUGCUGCAUUUCCUUCUGAUAUUGUAUCUGCGCUCACACCUAUGCAAAAGUUACUUUCUUAUCCCAUGUAAGAACAUCAGUAUAAGGAAAUAUGGCAACUAGGCCUGAAAUAUUGUCAGCCACCAAGAGCUGAAAAACAAUAUCAACAGGGAAAGUGACAGAAGUGUGGGUUCUAUUAUCCUGUAUUACAAACAGAAAUUAUUCAGUCUUGGCAAUGUACAAAAAGAAACAGAUUCUACCUGGAUCAUUCUUGAGCAUGGUGGAUGGCAUCUUGUGAACUUUAUUAUAUAGAAUAGCACAGAGAGUCAAAACAAGAAGGAACAGUAGGAUCUGAUUAACUGAAAUGGAAAAGAAGCUGGUUAAAAAUAUUAUAUUCACAGUAACAAUCCUUAGCAUGUUUACUCAGAAUUUGAUGGGACUUUAGUGUAUUUCAGCCUGCAACUUGACAGUGCAAUCUUAUUUGCUCAGAAGUAUGGUCUUGAUGAGGUUUACUCCAUUGAGUAAACCUCGAUAGAUUUCCUACAUAUAAUAAAAACGUAAGAGUAUCAUCACACUACAGUUUGCUUGGCCAAAGACAGUUGGCACUGCAAACUACAAUAUGACAAGAGGCAGUGGAUGAGUAGCCCAGGACAGCCACAGAGCGAUAGCUAUAACAGGCCACAGCAGCACCCCAGCAGCCACCUUGCUCUGCUGGCUCCUGGCUCCUCCACCUGCUGGGCCUGGGGCCCCUGCCCCUGAGCAUCCGGACCCCCAGACUUGCCAGUGCUGCCACUGGCUACCUUCUUCCUCACCAGUCUGUUUCGACUGCCACCAAUUUGGAGCAUGGGAAGGCGGCUGGCCUGGUAAUCUGCUGCUAUUGAUUAGUGUGAAGAGUCAGCCAGGAUGGGGUGGCAGCAGCUGAUUCUCAGACCAGCAGAUGGCCAUUUCUGACCUCCUUCCCUUUCUUCUCCUGCUACUAGGCUGACUCAUCAUCCCACUUGGAAGCAGCAGCAUGAGGUGGAAAGAGGAAGGUCUUAGCUCCCUCAGUGUUCUAUCGCAGGUCCUGAUACUGAACACCAGAUGCUGCUCACUGUUGCCUUGCUGCCAACCUCUGCAACCAUCUACGGACAACGCUGCAGAUAUUCAAAAACUUUUCACCCCCCUACCACUAGCAGGGACUCCUCUACAGACUUCAGUUCCAAACCAGGGAUCUAAUUAUUUAAAUCAACUCCCCGCCCCCGAAGGUGUCUUACUUUUUCGUAAGAGAGCCAUACGGUCCUUUCUUUUGGUCUCAAUCUGUUGUCGAAAGAAGAAAUAGGAGACAAAGAUCAGAAGGUGAAAAUAAUUCACAUUUAGUCUGUACUAAACGUUACUGGCUGAAACCCCAAUAACAUUAGGUUUUGCCUUUGACUUGAAUGGAAAACAUUUUAAACCUACCCAGCAGAGGUAGAGGUGCAUUCCACAAGCAAAUGCAAUGCAUUUAACCCUCUGCCAUUAAAAAAAAUUAAGAAAAGAACAUAACUUGGUCUUAUUCUUCAAUACAGAGCCACAAAUGUGAAGUGGUCCUUUUUGAGAAGAUGUAGGAAAGACGUGAACGUCUUUCUGAGCCCUCACUCUGGUGCAAUACCUACCACAUCUGCUUUCUUCCAAUUCAUGCAGGGUUACUCUAUAUGGGUUGAAUCCAUUACCCUCACCUGCACAAUCUUCUUGUUUCUCUGUUAUAUCCCUUAAUAUAAACCAUGGGGCAGAAUGGUACAGUUUAUGGCCUGACUAUAUAUACCUGAGCUAUGAGAUUGAUACAUGCAUUUGUUUUGACUUGAUAUAUCUACACUUGAACCAAUUUCUAUAUUGUCUCGGUAUACAGCAAAACUUGAGCUUAUGUUAGUCUCAGCCUGAAUCUGAGAACGGUACCCUAAGGGGAGCUACAACUUUGAGUGGGGAUUCUGAGAACCAGAACCAGAAUUCUUUUGAUAGUUAUGCACAGUCAGGUAACCCCUAUAUCUGUCAUAUAUCUAGACAUGUAGAGGAUCUAACUACAGAUGCCAUAUAGCUUGAGGACUGCAAUGGCACACUGGAUUAACAUAUCUGAGGCCCAGGAGGUGGGAGAGAGAAACAGUCACUCCUACAAGGUGUUAUAAGAAUUUUAAGGUCUUAUAUAUAUAUAUAAUUUGUUGUUGUUGUUGUUGCUUAGUCAUUUAGUCGUGUCUGACUCUUCGUGACUCCAUGGACCAGAGCACGCCAGGCACUCCUGUCUUCCACUGCCUCCCACAGUUUGGUCAAACUCAUGUUGGUAGCUUCGAGGACAAUGUCCAACCAUCUCGUCCUCUGUUGUCCCCUUCUCCUUGUGCCCUCAAUCUUUCCCAACAUCAGGGUCUUUCCCAGGGAGUCUUCUCUUCUCAUGAGGUGGCCAAAGUAUUGGAGCCUCAGCUUCACGAUCUGUCCUUCCAGUGAGCACUCAGGGCUGAUUUCCUUAAGAAUGGAUAGGUUUGAUCUUCUUGCAGUCCAUGGGACUCUCAAGAGUCUCCUUCAGCACCAUAAUUCAAAAGCAUCAAUUCUUUGGCGAUCAGCCUUCUUUAUGGUCCAGCUCUCACUUCCAUACAUUACUACUGGGAAAACCAUAGCUUUAACUAUACAGACCUUUGUUGGCAAGGUGAUGUCUAACAGAUGUUCAUAAAUGUACCAAGCAAACACAUACAAAUAUGUAAACCACAUGUCUGAAACCUACAGAAAAGUCCUGAAACCAUUUUCUCUCUCCCAAAAUGACCUCAAAUACUUCUCUGCAAGGUCGAUGGAAAUGGGAAAUCUCCCCAUUGCCUCUUUCACAAAUCCUGUCUAAAGGGCACAUUUAAGAUAUGAAUAGGGUGUAGACCUGUGACCUGGAUUCAGGAACUGAGUAGUUAUCACAACAAAAGAGUGGCCAGGAUGCCCAGGUAAUCCAAUCAGGUAACCCGGCAGAUAGGAAGAAACAACACACCCAGAUUUCCGCCCCUUCUCUGAUGUAUUAAGGGGGUGGUAUUGGCCCACACCCCUUCUGUGAUGUAUGUAUGAUGUUUCUGGUGGUGGUCUUGGACUUCAGGGCGGGCAAUUUAAAAUGUCUAUAUAAGGGCUUGCGCGCAUGGCUUGGGGUCCCUCCCCCCCUCCUGUGUGUGUGUGGGGGGGGAGCACCCUGUUGCAACAGCUUUAAUAAAGAUCAGGCUUACCAGCUGCUUUGCUUCUCAA